rnacentral:rRNA from 1 species
UACAGAGGGUGCAAGCGUUAAUCGGAGUUACUGGGCGUAAAGGGCGCGUAGGCGGCUUGGCAAGUGGAUGGUGAAAUCCCUCGGCUUAACCGAGGAACUGCCAUCCAGACUGCUUUGCUUGAGGCCGGGAGAGGUGAGUGGAAUUCCCAGUGUAGCGGUGAAAUGCGUAGAUAUUCGCAAGAACACCAGUGGCGAAGGCGGCUUACUGGUCCGGAACUGACGCUGAGGUGCGAAAGCGUGGGGAGCAAACAGG